rnacentral:snRNA from 1 species
CAACUCUGGUGUCACCUCAUUUGAGGAUAAAUCUUUCGCCUUUUACUAAAGAUUUCCAUGGGGAGGCACAAUGCAAUGAAUCUUACCUCAUUUUUCUUCAGCUCUAUCUUUGGACAA